rnacentral:rRNA from 1 species
GCCAGCAGCCAUAUCACAGCCAACUCACAGCUGGCAGCCCACUGGAGCUCAGCAGGUGUGAGCCUGGUCAGUACCUGGAUGGGAGACCUCCUGGGAAGAACUAAGGCUGCUGCUGGAA